AACGAACGCUGGCGGCGUGGAUAAGACAUGCAAGUCGAACGAGAGAAUUGCUAGCUUGCUAAUAAUUCUCUAGUGGCGCACGGGUGAGUAACACGUGAGUAACCUGCCCCCGAGAGCGGGAUAGCCCUGGGAAACUGGGAUUAAUACCGCAUAGUAUCGAAAGAUUAAAGCAGCAAUGCGCUUGGGGAUGGGCUCGCGGCCUAUUAGUUAGUUGGUGAGGUAACGGCUCACCAAGGCGAUGACGGGUAGCCGGUCUGAGAGGAUGUCCGGCCACACUGGAACUGAGACACGGUCCAGACACCUACGGGUGGCAGCAGUCGAGAAUCAUUCACAAUGGGGGAAACCCUGAUGGUGCGACGCCGCGUGGGGGAAUGAAGGUCUUCGGAUUGUAAACCCCUGUCAUGUGGGAGCAAAUUAAAAAGAUAGUACCACAAGAGGAAGAGACGGCUAACUCUGUGCCAGCGGCCGCGGUAAUACAGAGGUCUCAAGCGUUGUUCGGAAUCACUGGGCGUAAAGCGUGCGUAGGCUGUUUCGUAAGUCGUGUGUGAAAGGCGCGGGCUCAACCCGCGGACGGCACAUGAUACUGCGAGACUAGAGUAAUGAAGGGGGAACCGGAAUUCUCGGUGUAGCAGUGAAAUGCGUAGAUAUCGAGAGGAACACUCGUGGCGAAGGCGGGUUCCUGGACAUUAACUGACGCUGAGGCACGAAGGCCAGGGGAGCGAAAGAGAUUAGAUACCCCUGUAGUCCUGGCAGUAAACGGC
rnacentral:rRNA from 1 species